rnacentral:rRNA from 1 species
AUUGAACGCUAGCGGGAUGCUUUACACAUGCAAGUCGAACGAGUGGCGGACGGGUGAGUAAUAUAUCUGAACGUGCCCAGUAGCGGGGGAUAACAACUCGAAAGAGUGGCUAAUACCGCAACAUAUUGCUGCGGCCGGUGUCGGAUUAGUGAGUGGGGGGGGUAAAGGCUCACCAAGGCAACGAUCCGUAGCGGGUUUGAGAGGACGACCAGCCAAACGGGGACUGAGACAGGGGCCAGACUCCUACGGGAGGCAGCAGUGGGGAAUUUUGGACAAUGGGGGAAAGCCUGAUCCAGCCAUCCCGCGUGUAUGAGAAGGCCUUCGGGUUGUAAAGUACUUUUGGCAGGGAAGCGGUAUCUGCAGAAUAAGCACCGGCUAACUACGUGCCAGCAGCCGCGGUAAUUC